GUUGGAUACUCUGGGAGGGGUCUACUUCACCUGGUAUGGGUUAAGUUUACAAGUCUGCCCUGGCGGGCAACUCUGGGAUAUAAUGGUUUGAGCUCAUGAUCACAAAUUGCCUGUCUUUCUUAAAAAAGAGUCUCAACACCAAUGCAGAAGAAAUGGAGGAUCUGAUGAAACCUGCAGCAAGUUGCUGUCCAAAGUUUUUAUUUUAGAAAAGGCCUUGAUUUUAGACUGCGAGCACUUGCUCCUUUGGGAUGGAGGGUGUCUACUUCCCAUCAUUGCCCGGUAAUGACUUUACCUAGCCCAUAUUCUACGGAGUCUGGAUGAUCGUCAUCUCCUUCCUGGCUGACCUUCUGGAGAUGCUGAAGAUAGGCAUCAGUGUGGAAGGUGGCCAUCUCCUCCAUGGAGGCUACUUUGGGCUUAACUAUCCUAAUAAUAACAGAGAACAAAGAGAGGUGAGUGAGUCAGACCCAGAGUAUGCCAGAAACUGGAAGCAGAAGCCAGUUAGUCUGAGCAGAGAAUACAACUUCCAGCUUCCAGUUCUAGUGGGUUGAA